UGGGGAAUUUUGGACAAUGGACGCAAGUCUGAUCCAGCCAUUCCGCGUGCAGGAUGAAGGCCCUCGGGUUGUAAACUGCUUUUGGACGGAACGAAAAGCCGCUUUCUAAUACAGAGCGGUCAUGACGGUACCGUCAGAAUAAGCACCGGCUAACUACGUGCCAGCAGCCGCGGUAAUACGUAGGGUGCAAGCGUUAAUCGGAAUUACUGGGCGUAAAGCGUGCGCAGGCGGUUAUGUAAGACAGGUGUGAAAUCCCCGGGCUUAACCUGGGAACUGCAUUUGUGACUGCAUAGCUAGAGUACGGUAGAGGGGGAUGGAAUUCCGCGUGUAGCAGUGAAAUGCGUAGAUAUGCGGAGGAACACCGAUGGCGAAGGCAAUCCCCUGGACCUGUACUGACGCUCAUGCACGAAAGCGUGGGGAGCAAACA
rnacentral:rRNA from 1 species